rnacentral:lncRNA from 1 species
UUUUCAAUUUUUCAUCCAGUUCCCCUUAAUUAUCCGGAGCAGCACUCUGCAGAAGCUCAUCACCGAAUCUACCACCGCCCCCAACGACAACGACGGCAAGGAGUGCACCGUGCAGCUCGAUGACCUACUCGGCGGCCCGGUGUUGGAGCAUAUAUCUCCAUAUGUGGUUUUGGUAAUUGAUGACAACUCCUAUGGACUAAUGGUUGCUUUAAGUUAUAUUUAUAGGAUUUGUCCAUAGG